AGUGAACGCUGGCGGUAGGCCUAACACAUGCAAGUCGAACGGCAGCACAGUAAGAGCUUGCUCUUACGGGUGGCGAGUGGCGGACGGGUGAGGAAUACAUCGGAAUCUACUUUUUCGUGGGGGAUAACGUAGGGAAACUUACGCUAAUACCGCAUACGACCUACGGGUGAAAGCAGGGGAUCUUCGGACCUUGCGCGAUUGAAUGAGCCGAUGUCGGAUUAGCUAGUUGGCGGGGUAAAGGCCCACCAAGGCGACGAUCCUUAGCUGGUCUGAGAGGAUGAUCAGCCACACUGUAACUGAGACACGGUCCAGACUCCUACGGUGGGCAGCAGUGGGGAAUAUUGGACAAAGGGCGCAAGCCUGAUCCAGCCAUACCGCGUGGGUGAAGAAGGCCUUCGGGUUGUAGAGCCCUUUUGUUGGGAAAGAAAAGCAGCAGGUUAAUCCCCCGCUGUUCUGACGGUACCCAAAGAAUAAGCACCGGCUAACUUCGUG
rnacentral:rRNA from 1 species